rnacentral:rRNA from 1 species
UACGAAGGGGGCUAGCGUUGCUCGGAAUCACUGGGCGUAAAGGGUGCGUAGGCGGGUCUUUAAGUCAGGGGUGAAAUCCUGGAGCUCAACUCCAGAACUGCCUUUGAUACUGAGGAUCUUGAGUACGGGAGAGGUGAGUGGAACUGCGAGUGUAGAGGUGAAAUUCGUAGAUAUUCGCAAGAACACCAGGGGCGAAGGCGGCUCACUGGCCCGUAACUGACGCUGAGGCACGAAAGCGUGGGGAGCAAACAGG